rnacentral:rRNA from 1 species
UACGUAGGGCGCAAGCGUUGUCCGGAAUUAUUGGGCGUAAAGAGCUCGUAGGCGGUCUGUCGCGUCUGCUGUGAAAACUCAGGGCUUAACCCUGAGCUUGCAGUGGGUACGGGCAGACUAGAGUGCGGUAGGGGAGACUGGAAUUCCUGGUGUAGCGGUGAAAUGCGCAGAUAUCAGGAGGAACACCGGUGGCGAAGGCGGGUCUCUGGGCGAGUAAACU